ACCGCGUCCAAAAUCGGACGCGCUGUGGCGCCGGUGCCUGAGUCCCCAAGUGCAAAACUGAAAUGUGUGUGACCGAGGCUUUUGAAUCCUGAGCUUCCUUAGUUUGCUGAGACUCGGGACCGACUGACCCUCCCUGCCGGUCUCGCGCAGCUCUGACCUCCAGAGCCUCCCGCCUUUACGGAGACCCCCCGGACCCAGAAGGCUUUUCAGCCUUGACCAGUCGCAGAAGUGUGGUCUGAGGAUUCUGGUAGAUGUGUGCUCUUAGGGAGGCAGAUCCGGCGCCCUUGAUGAAGUUUCCAGCUGAAAUGAAUUUGUCCCCUAGGCUCCGUUGGAACAAGGCAUCUCUGCGGAGUCAAGAAAGAGGGGGACUCCAGAAACAGGAAUCUCACGGGAAGACCCACACCCCCCUCCAGCCUCUGACCCGAGAUGGAUCAGAGCUUCAGAGGAGAAGCACUGGAAACCCAGAAAAGGAGCGUAUGGCUCAGAGCGGCCAAGGCUUGAGUGAUUUGCCUACAAUCAGCUGCUGGGUACCUGGCUGGCACUGGACGUUUUGAGGCGAGAGUGGGUAAGCUCGAAUCAUCCUGGUCCUCUUCCCUCCUCCUCCAGGAGGGCCUUCCCGGGUUUUGGCACUCUUAGGAGAACAACACACAAUGCACAGAUCCCAGAACACUUUUCAUCAUCUCAGACAACAACUCUGUGACCUUAACCAGUGAUGCUUCGUUCGUUCCUCCCCUAGAGCCUGGCAACCUCUCCUCUCUAGGUUUUUGUUUUUGCAGACAAUAGAGUUACAGCUUCUCUUACUUCUGAUGUCCACCACGCCCCUCUGGCUGAAGUUGUCACAGGGGCUUACUAUAGGCUUCCUGAUGGAAGUGACUGGUGCCUUCCCACUGCUGCCAACACGUAGGAGCCCUUGGUGGAGUCUCAUGGGUCAGAAAUGAUUGUCUCCACUGGGCACCAAAAGAAUGUUUAUGUCCUCACCUCUGUCAAGACUGUUCAAAUGGGCACCUUUAUCAUGUGACUCUUAAAGCCCACCUUCCUUAUCCUUCAGGGGCCCUGACGUCUAGCGCCUCGUCAGAAGUCUUACCCUGACGCUCACUCACAGGGUACUGGACCACCGUAACAGAGGUGAUCUUCAGGCUGGAGCAAGGAGAAGAGCUGUGGCUGUUAGAGAAUUCCCAGGCUGGAGGGGUCCAGACAGAAGAAAGGAAAACCAAGAUAAGCAUUUGUGGCAAGUUUCACUUAUCAGCAAAAAAAAUACUAAGAAGAGAGAGAUUUUCAGAAAAAUACCUUGUCAAUAUGACUUAGGUAGAAUGAGUUUGAAAAAUGUUUCAGAAUCAGUUAUUAGUGAUAAAAAUCAUCCAAGUAAAAAUUCUCAUGAAGUUAAUCCAUGUGGGAAGUUGCUUCCUGAUAAUAAUCAAGGCAGUACUCAUACUGGAAAGAAAUCUGAUGAACAUAACCAAGAUGGGGAAAAAGACCUUAUUGGACAACAGAAAAUUGAGCCUUUAGGGCCACCUCUUGAAGAUCAUGAAUGCAGAGCAGCUGUCAGUGAGGCAGCCACCAUCACACCUCAGAGGGCCCCAAAAGAGGGAAAAUUCCUAUUCCUAAGGAAUAGGGGGGAAAUAUCAGCAACCAGUCAGCCCUCAAAGUCCGGCACAAAGCUCCCACAAGGAAGAAUCACUUUGAAGUUCAUGAGUGUGAGAAGUCAACUCUGUUUAAACAUGAGAAAAUUAACAUGGAGGAAAAAACCCAUGAAUCUAAUGAAAAUGGGAAUAAUUUCAGGCCGAAGACCCACCUCGCUCAACUUCAUAAAACUCCCACGGGAAAGAAAACGUUUGAAUGCCAUCAUUGCAAUAAUUCUUUUUACCAGGAAUCACACCUCACUCAACAUGAGAAGACACACACAGAAGAGGAACUAUAUGACAGUAACAAAUGUGGAAAAAACUUCCACAAAUCAUAAGCUACUGACCCUCAAAGAACUCAAACAGGAGAGAAACCCAGUGAAUGUGAUAGUGCCUCUGGGAAGCCAGCCAUUACUGAUCAGCAGAGAACAUGGGAAAACUUGAUGUAUGUAAUGAAUGUAAGAAAAUUUUUUGUUAUAGCUCAGCCCUAAAAGUCCAUCAGAGAAUUCACACAGGAGAGAAGCCCUAUCAGUGUAAGGAUUGUGGGAAAUUCUUCUAUGCAAAAUCCAAAUUCAGUCAUCAUCAGAGAACUCACACAGGGGAGAAACCGUAUGAAUGUAAGGAUUGUGGGAAAUCAUUUGUGUGAAAUCAAACUUAACAUCAGAAAAUGCAUUCAGGGGAGAAACCUUUCAAAUGCAAUGAAUGUGGAAAAUCCUACUGUAAGUCAGCCCUACAUGUACAUCAAGGGAAGCAUACAGAAGAGAAAUCCUAUAAAUGUACUGAGUGUGGGAAAUUCUUUUGCUACAAGUCAGCCCUAAUUAUACAAAUAUCUCACACACAGAAGAAACCCUAUGGCUGUAAUGAAUGUGGGAAAACCUUGUGUGUGAAGUAAAAUCUCACUAAACACCAGGAAAUUCACAGAGGUUUAAACCCCUGUGAAUGUAAUGAAUGUUGCAAAUCAUCCUCCAUGAAUUCUAUCCUCACUGCAUCAAAGAAUUUAUACAGGGGAGAAACCCUAUGGAUGAGAAGUCCUUCUGCAAAAAAUCAUCCCUUGCUAAACAUCAGAAAAUUCACACAGGGGAGAAACCACAUAAAUGUAAUGAAUGUGGGAAAGCCUUCCAUGUGAAGUCAACUCUGAUUAUAUACCAAAGAACUCACACAGGAGAGAAACCCUUUAAAUGCAAUGAAUGUCAAAAGUCAUUCUACAUAAAAUCGCUUCUUAAUAUUCAUCAGAGAAAUCACACAGGGAAGAAACCCCACGUAUAUAAAGGAUGUGGGAAUGGCUUUUCUAUGAAGUCAAGCCUCACUGAUCAUCAGAGGACACAUUCAGAAGAGGAACCCUAUGAAUGUAAUGACCAUCAGAAGACCUUUCACCAUAAGUCAACCUUAAUUGUACACGAGAGAGCUCACACAGGGGAUAAAACUUACAAAUGUAAUGACUAUGGGAAAACCUUCUAUAUGAAGUCAGCCUUCAGUCAGCACCAGAGAAUACACACAGGUGAGAAACCUUAUGAAUGUAAAGAAUGGGAAACCUUUUUUCCAGAAGUCACGCCUCACUAAACAUCAGUGAACACACACAAGGGAGAAACUUUAUGAAUGUAAAGAAUGUGGGAAAAACUUCUUUCAGAUAUCACCUCAUUAAACAUCAGAGAAUACACACUGGGGAGAAGCCCCAGGAGUGUAAUAAAUGUGUGAAAUCUUUCUGUUUACAAUCAGCCCUAAUCAUCCAUCAGAGAACUCACACAGAAGAGAAACUAUAAAUGCAAUGAAUGUGAUAAAUCUUUCUGUAUGAAAUCACCCCUCACUGUACACCAGCGAACCCAUAGAGGAAGGAACCCCUUUGAAUGUACAGAAUGUGAGAAAACUAUGUGAAAUCACCUCAUUAAUCAUCAGAGAACCCACGCAGGGGAGAAGUGAUGUGGAAAAUCCUUCUGUAUGAAGUCAACUCUCACAGUGCAUCAGCACACACACACCUGGGAGAAGCCCUAUGAAUGUAAUGAAUAUGGGAAAUCCUUCAAGAAGUCAGCUCUCACCAAACAUGAGGUAAUUCACACCAGGGAGAUACCCCAAGUGGCAACAGUGUGGAAAAUCCUCCCGUGUGACAUCACAUUUUGUCACAUCUUAGCAAACGCACUGGAGAAACUGAGUUUUCUUAUAUCAGACAACUUGACAGGAGAGCCUUGAGAACAUUACUAGUCUCCACCUAUGAAUCAGCUGUAUGCUUCAGAGAAGUCACAAGGAAAGGUAUCAAGGUACUGAAGCAUUUACAAAAUCACAACUUACUGCACAUCAGCCUUUGGGUUUACAGGAAACGAAGGAGAUAGAGGAACAGCUUCAGUGGAGAAAACAGACAAAUCUGAAAUGUGGAACCCAAGACAACUGGUCUGGUCUCUUCCCAAAGUCAAUGUCAUCUUUAAAAAAGAAAUGCAGAGAAGACUGUUUUUGGUUCACAGAAACAUGAUUAAAUACCAUGCAUGAACCUUGACUGGAUCCAAAAGACAUCUGGUUCAAAAAGACAUCUACAAAGAUAUUUCGGAGCUUCAUAGGUCAGCUGUGUAUUGUCAAUUUCCUGAAAUACCUGGAGCCAAAAAAAUUGAGAAAAGAGGGAGUUCCUUGGUGGUCCAGCAGUUAAGGAUUCAGCACUGUCGGUGCUUUGGCUCAGGCUUCUCAGUAUGCCUGCUGCGCCCUCGACUGUCAUCCUGCCCUUGGCUGCUGCCACAAGUACUGGUGCCUUUGGCACCAGCCCUCUAGGAAGACUGCUCCAAGUCAAGGAAACAACAAAGGGAAGCCCUGCCACCUUACCGUGACCCCCAGGUGAAAGCCACAGGCACAGUCCCAGGUGAGCAAUGAGGUCUAGUUCUCACCCUGCCCCACCGCCGGUAUCUGGAGCACAGACUCUUGUCCCUUUGGUGGCUGACCUGAGCUGUGGGAGGGCGGCUGGGCAGCUCUCUCACCUCGAGGCUGCUGCUCUCCACACCUCCCUGGUGGUUGUUACGUCCUGCCCUGGACACUCAAGUUCCGCCACAAUUGCCAGCUCAGUAGUCGCUCAUGUUGGGGGUAUGGAGCCAUCGAUUUCCCUACUCUUCCAUUUUUAGUGGAAUCACCUCCCAUUAGUUCUCGAGCACUUCCUGAUUGUUAGAACAAAUGAAUGUUCUACACUUGAUUUUCCUAAUCAAUGCUGGAAUAAGCUGUUACUCUAAAGAGCUCAGGUUCCAUUUAGUGGGGGAAAAUAUUUAGAAACCAAGAUCUGGGCACACAUUUUUCUAAAUGUCAUAUACUGCAUAUUUCAUUAGGAAUUUUAACAUUUUAUACUGUGCUAGUAGUUAAUAGAUUCUACUGAUUCAACUAAUAAUCUCGUUUUGAUUGAUAUUAUAAAGAUUUUGAGUGGGCUGCCCUUAACUCUACUUCCUUCUUAACUCUAAAUUCACUUUUUUUUUUUUUUUUUGCCAUUUCUUGGGCCUCUCCCGUAGCAUAUGGAGGUUUCCGGGUUAGGGGUCCAAUCAGAGCUGUAGCUGCCGGCCUACACCACAGCCACAACAAUGCAGGAUCCGAGCUGCAUCUGUGACCUACACCCCAGCUCAUGGCAAUGCCGGAUCCUUAACCCACUGAGCAAGGCCAGGGAUGGAACCCGAAACCUCAUGGUUCCUAGUCGGAUUUGUUAACCACUGCACCACGACGGGAACUCCUCUAAAUUCACUCUUAUAUUUAGUCAGUUCACUAGAUUUGGUUUUGUUUGCUUUUUAGAGCCGAACCUGCAGCAUAUGGAGGCUCCCAGGCUAGGGGUUGAAUUGGAGCUACAGCUGCCAGCCUACAGCAACACAUGAUCCGGAGCCACAUCUGUGACCUCUACCACAGCUCAUGGCAAUGCCAGAUCCGUAACCCACUGAGCAAGGCCAGGGAUCGAACCUGCAUCCUCAUGGAUACUAGUUGGGGUCAGGUUCAUUACUGCUGAACCACAAUGGGAACUCCAGUUCACUAGGUUUUGGAGGAAGACCUAUGUUGGUUGCAUUUUGAAAGGAAUGAGUGUUAAUUUUUUGUUGGCUAAUUGUGUGUCACUGUCAGGUUGGCUGCCAAGUUAAGUGGCUGAAUCAAGAGAGAAGACUGAAGUCUCGGGUACAAUUCUAAACAGGGGGUCCAGGGACAUAGGACACCCCUGUUCCAUGGUCUUGUCCAGAGAAAAGCUUCCCUUUGUCACUUUUCCAUCCCCUAAAGCAGAGGUCAGCAGAUACGGUUCACAGGUCAAAUCUGGCCCACUGCCUUUUUCUUCUAGUUUGCAAGCCAAAAAUGGGUUUUAGAUAGUUUUUUUUUUUUAAUCAAAAGAAUAAUAAGUUCUAUCACAGCCCAAGGGAAGGAAGAGGCAGCAAAGAACAAACCUUUAAGAAUGUGACUCACAAGAUGACACAGUUCCUGCCCUCUGGGCCCCGAGGUAUUUACCUGGCCAUGGCUCCCUGAAAGGUAAGUUGGGAAGUCAGAUCUCCAGUGAUGUGUCCUUUGCAACUGGAAGAGGGGGAAUCUCUUAUGUAAGUCAACAGGGCAAGACUGCAGUUCAAGCAGCCGCCCAGUCUGUCACUCAGUUCUGUGCAGUGAGGCAGAUGCUCCCAGGUGGGGCUCUUCCCACAGGAAGGACGGUUACAAGGACAGUAACCAGCAGACAGAGCAGCUACUGAGAGCUGGCUUGGGAUGGACUUGCCAGAAAAGGUACAGCCAUCGUUCAGGUACCUGAGCCAUAAGAUUCCGGCUAAAACUGAACAGAAUAAAAGAGCAUUAAGGAUUUAAUUUGGGGGCCUUUCAAGUUUUAGGAGGCAUCCUGGGCACAGAGCUGACUGUACUGCUAGUUGAAGACAUCAGUAGCACUGGUUUCCGGGCACAUCCCCUUCUUUCUUCACGCCAACCCCAGUUCCGCCCCUUCCCCCACAGGCAUGAUAAAGGUAUGACCUGAAGUAACCUAGGUAAUGGGGGGGGGUGUCCUUCUAAUGAUGUAAACACUGUUUAGUUACAUGCAGUGUUAUUCCGUCCAUUGACUUCAUAUCUGAAAGUGCUCAUCAGAUGUGCUAUGUGCAACUAUAGCAGACACGCCUAAGUGCUGGACAGCACCCUGCUGCCUGACCCCCAUUCUACUCACCUUUUCUAGUGCUGGUCUCCUAGGAGAUCCCGAAAUUCCUGUGGUGCAGUUCCCUGUGUACAGAAUUUCUGUGGGACCUGUGGCCAGAUAAGGGGACCACUGCAUCAUAGAGCAUUCCCAUUAAUAAAUCUGACAGCUGUUUCCAGGUCAGUUUCCCAGAGGGCCGGAUCAUUUUAUUCACUGCCGCAGUGUACACACACCACCCGCCGCCAUUCACAUCCUCACGGAGAUUUAUACAUUGGCGUAAUGCCAUUCUGAUGGGUACCAAGGGAUAUUUUACUGUUUUAACUUGCACUUUCUAGUUACUAAGGAUUUCAGGUAACUGUCACAUCCGUUCUUUUGGACUGCCCGUCUUUCUUUGCUGGAUACAUUCUUACGUAUUUCACUCAUUGGUCUUAUCUAGAUUAAACAAAUUCUCCUUCAGAGACUGAUGAGAUUGUCUGUAUCUUUCCAUUAGAUACCACAGUGGCCCUUUUCAGUUUCAUUAAUUCUGAGAAAUUUUCAGUUCAUCUAUUUUCUCCCCAUUUUGUCUCCUUGAGGAGCCUAGGAUACAGAUGUUAUCUCUACUCUGUUAUAUGUUUUUUAUUUUUCACACGCAUUCUUUUUUCUUCGUAAUGUCCUGCAGGAAUUAAUAUCAUCAUCAUAUACUGUACUGAUUUGGGGGGGUUGGCUCUAUCAAUUCUAUCAUCUAAUUAUUUACUCAUGCCAAUUAUUCAUGGCCAUUCCCCCCCCCACAUCUUUUUUGGGGACCGGGUAACUAUCUGUUCCUGCUUCAUGUUACCAAUCUACUUUUUUUUUUUUUUUUUUUUUUUGCACGCAGAAGUUCCUGGACCAGAGAUUGAACCUGCACCACAGCAGUGACAAUGCUGGAUCCCUAACCCACGGAGGCACAGGGAACUCCACCAAUCCACUUUUCCUCAGUGAUGUCUAUUAGAAAAACUUUGAAAUCUUGAUGUCUACCUCCCAUCAAGCUGGCUUGCUGUGCAGAAGGUAUGGUGUGCUGUCUCAGUAAACUCAGGCCUCCAACCACUUUUUUCGGAAUUGUCACUGGAGUAUCUGCAGAUCUCAGCUCCAGUUGAAGUAGGGUGUGUGUUACAAAAGAGAAAGGCCCACCCCCAACUGGGAUGUGCCCCUGCUUCCUGACAUAGUGGGCAGUAGUACCUCCUCCACCCAGAAAACUGUGUCCAUUUACUGUGAUGACUUGGCUUUGGAGAGAGAAGAGGUUGGUUCUCCAGGCUGGUUCUCCUGCAUCAGCUGGACCAGGGGUCAGUGGAGCCUGAGCUGCCACCGCAGUGCCAAGCAGAUCAGCCUGCAUCCAUCUCACAGAGGCACCCCAGGGCUGGGGGUGGGAGGGCAGUGUGCUGGGACAUGCAGGUUACAGAAGUUUACAAUAUGGAAGUUUUCAUAAGCACCUGCCUCUCUCCUGCCAACACCUCUCUCACAAGAGCCACAUCUAUGCAUCUUCCCACCCGAAGUUGCCCCAACAGUUUAGCUCCCUGGACCCAUGAACUGCUCUGACGUCUGUGGCAUCUGCAGCGUCAGGCUGUGGGAACAAGUCAGCAGCCUAUGCUGGUUCAUGAACAUGGCAGGAAUCAUAGACUUUAAAUUCAAGGAAGGGAAAAGCAGUUUAUUUGUGAUGUAGUUAUCUCUGUAAUAAUAAUUAAAAAAGCAACAACUUUUAAAAUGUAUGUCCUUGUUUUGUUCAAUUGUUUCUAUAAAUCUGGCAGUUAUUUGGGCUGCAGUCAUGUGGCUUCUUUACAACCUUUGAGGAGCGUGACUGGACAGCCCAGCCAGCCACACUGAGAUGGAAUAAAGAGAGGUACCUCUGUGACCUCAGACAGAAAAAGCCCUGGUGUUAACACUGUGUGUCUUAACUUUGACCUGUUUGAGAGGCCACAGAAGCAGCAAAUGAGCCACUGUUUCUCUAACAAGAGGAUAAUUUAAAAAAAAAAAAUUUUUUUUUGAGGGAAUCUCACCUUUGUGUGCCAGGAAGGGCUGACCUCUUGCUCAGCCCUUGGAAAUCCCUCUGGGAGUUCCUAAUCUGCUCAUACUCCAGAGUAUGAGGCCACUUGUGUAUAAGAACAAGUACUUGUGCUCUGCUCCAAUUCCACAUUCAGUCCUUGCUGCCAGAUGCGUAAACUGAGUCAGCCCCUAUAGUGCUUUCUUUCUUGAGCUCAGGCCUUGCCAGCAACAGUUUAAAACUUUUCAAAUAGUGCAUUCCAUCAAAUCUAAGACAAACCAUUAGUUUAAGUACUUCUAAGGAAGAAAAAAAAAAUGCCAGUUAAAUUUGAGUAUGUUAUUGAUCCUAAUUUCAGAGAUGUAAAAAUAAGAAAACAUUGACAUCUCUGAAACAAACCAACCGCACAACCACAUUAUGGAAGAGGCAGUUUGGGACCACUUAAACAUACAGGGCCCUUUUGUUUCAGCCAUUCUAUGAGAAAAAAAAUGUGGUAAACCCUUUAAACUUUUCAAAUAUUUACUUAAAAAUGCGUACUGUGUAGUUAGAGAUUUACCACACUAGUGGGAAGUAGCUUAAGUAUUUCAACAAAUAUACUAUGAAUAUAUAGUUCCUACUCAAAACUAUACACUCUACCAAAUUUUAAUUCCUGUUAUGUAUCAUAUUCACGAUUAUCUAGACAAAUAUGGAGGCAAAGUGAUGAUUAACAAACAACAGGCUCCACGAGUGAUGGAAAUACAGGAAAAACAUGGUACUUCAUCUCUGUGGUAAGGGGUGAAUUACUCAAGAUAGCUAAUCACUGGAAAACAAAGUAGAUUCUUACUUCACACCAUAUAUUGUCAACAACAUUGUAGCAAUGACCCAUGAAUAAUAUAAAUUAAUCUAAACAAAAUUUAUGUCAUGCAUUAUCAAGAACGAACUACCUGACACUGUAUCAGAUUCUAGAGAUUCUUAGGGUAGUUGUAUAACAUUUCAAGAAAACAUAUACAUUUAAUUGUUUCAGAUUGAUUUCUAAGACUCAAACUAUUUACACCAAAACUUAAAGAAAAUAAGAAUCUCUAUAUCAACAGCUCAAAAUAAAUGAUUUGCCUGAAGUCCACUUCUCAAUUGCAUAACUCCUACAAAAGUGUGACUUUAUCUUCAGUUAUCACUAAGAAUGACCUAAAUCAGCUUAAAAUGUAGUCUUUCACGAAAAAAACAGCCCAGAGGUGGAGUGGCUACACAGCUGGCUGGUUCAGUGGCUCAAGAGCAUGGUCGGGGUCCCAAGUUCUUCCAGUUUUUCUGCUUUGCUGUGCACAAAGUGUAAUUCAUUGCUGAAGGAGAGCCAGGCAUCACAUCCAGACAAGGAGACGUUCAACAAGAUUUCACUUUUCCCUGCUUGAUUCCUUGAAUUUUGAGGAAAGCUUUUCCAGAAAUAACCUGCCAGAUAUUUUCUUUAUCUGUCUAGAAUUGGGUCCUUGACCCUCUAAACCAACUGCUGGCAAUGAAAACAGGAUUAUCAUUAUUCAUUGAAACAAAUCAGGAUUUAUGCCCUGUUCUGUGAGGAGGAAUGGAUAUCCAAACUCAGCCAGCCAACAAGUAAGGAGCAAGUGAGCAGGGAAGUCAUUCAACAAUGCCAGCUACAAACCCGUACAAAUGUGCUCUUAAUCCAUUCAGGAAGGAGUGAAGCAUGGUGUUUAAAAAUAUCAUCAUAUUAAAUAAGAAUAAAGCUAAUUCCUAGGUUACACAGUAUGUGUGCUCUGUACAGACUUAUACAGGCAUUUAAAUAAAAAAUAGGUGGAAAAAAGACUAAAAUUGGACUUUUUAAAAAAACUAUCAAGUGCAGUGAGUCCUACAGUGUUUCUCACUACUGGAGACUUCUGGCAUUAACAAUUUAAAAUUCAUCUAUGCAUUUUUCUACUUUAUGCAUAGGUUACUAUCUCUUCCUGACUCAGAGUUGAAAACAUUACUUAAAACAUUGCCUUCUUUAUGGAAGACUUAGUUAAUAAACAAUGAUAAAAUACAUUAUAAAUGCCAAGGAAGAAUACAAAAAGAAGCAUACUUUAUACUUUUCAAAUAUUAGUUAAGUAAUAAUGUAUAUUAAGAUACUAACAUUGGGGUGCUACCUAAAAUGUUACCAUGUCUUACAAAUUAUUCUAGUAAGGAUAGAAUGCAUUUUUAAACAUGAUUGAGACAUGAACAUAUGGUUCCUGUAAUGUAGCAUGCUAUAAAACAAACAGACCAAAAUGCCCCUCAAAAGCAUUAGUCCUACACCCUCAAGAACCACUCAUAUAUGAAUUUAAUGUUGCCAUGUCGCUGCCUUGAUUGGCUACCUGUGACUUUACAGCUUCUAUUUACAAAAGGAGCAUGUUUAUUCAUGACAGCCAUCUUGUGUUUUUUUUUUUUUACAAAGAGCUUGAUAUUUUAUCAGAAACAUAAAUUUUAGUAUUAAUAAUUCCAACAGAAUGUUUUCCACUUCCUUAAAUUAAGAGGUUUCCCUUGAUAUAAAUUCCCUGAUAUGUAAAACA